CCUACGGGUGGCAGCAGUAGGGAAUUUUGCGCAAUGGGCGAAACCCUGACGCAGCAACGCCGCGUGAUUGAUGAAGCCCUUCGGGGUGUAAAGAUCUGUCAGUGGGGACGAAACAUGACGGUACCCACAGAGGAAGCAUCAGCUAACUCCGUGCCAGCAGCCCCGGUAAUACGGGGGAGGCAAGCGUUGUCCGGAAUCAUUGGGCGUAAAGAGUUCGUAGGGGGCACGUUAAGGCUGGUGUUAAAUGCAGGGGCUCAACCUGUGUUCGGCACUGGAUACUGGCGAGCUUGAGUGCUGGAGAGGUAGAGGGAAUUCCUGGUGGAGCGGUGAAAUGCGUAGAUAUCAGGAGGAACAUCGGUGGCGUAGGCGCUUUGCUGGGCCGUAAUUGACGCUGAGGAACGAAAGCGAGGGUAGCAAAUGGGAUUAGAUACCCCAGUAGUC
rnacentral:rRNA from 1 species